CAACACUCGAGCCCCCCCGGGGGCUCGGCGUUGGGGAUCGGCAGCCCCCCGGCCCUCCUUGCGAGGGGCGGGGAGCCGUCCCCGAAAUCCAGUGGCGGUCUCGCCGCAGCCUCCCCUGCGCAGUAGCUUGCACACUCGCACCGGGAGCGCGGCGCGGCCACGCCGUAAAACACACCAAACUUCUGAAA
rnacentral:misc_RNA from 1 species